GGAUGUGGCUCAAGUGGUAGCGUGCUCGUCUGGCAUGCGUGAGGCACUGGGUUCAAAACUUAGCACCA
rnacentral:tRNA from 1 species